ACGACCAGUGGUUGGGUGGAUCUCUAAAUAUGACACUAUAAUAAGGGCCCAUCCAAGCCCAUAAAAGAACAUGAGAAUAAUAAGCAAACAAAAGAGACAGAUUCUAGAAGAGGAGGUACUCAAAACUUAGGACGUACAACAAUAUCUAUGUACUGCUUUGCGACAAAGCGUAGAAUUUAGAUUUAAUAGUCUCCAAACAAACACAAACCUAAAGUUUCUGUUCCUUCAAGCCCCUUUAUAUAUAUCUCCCUGGUCGAUCUCCUUUCGUUACAUCAUAAUUCUUUGACCUUCUUCUUCUUCUUCUUAGCCAGCUCAUAUCAUUUUUUAAAAAUUUCAUAUAACGUAUAAAACAAUUACGUAUUCUUGUCUCCCACUCUCUUCCUCCUCCCUUAAUAUUUCAUAUUAAUUUAAGUAAAGAGCAAAUAUAAGUAAUUGAUUCUGUCAUCUAAGUAUCUACGUGGCGUAAUCCCCUGAGUUCCUGCCAGCGUUUCAGACAACAAUUCUUUCCCCUUGCCUUUGCAUAUUCAUUAAGG